CUCAACCGGGAGAGGUCGUGUGAAACUGGGUCACUGGAGGCAGGGAGAGGCAGACGGAAUUCCGGGUGGAGUGGUGAAAUGCGUAGAGAUCCGGAGGAACACCAGUGGCGAAGGCGGUCUGCUGGCCCUGACCUGACACUCAGCCGCGAAAGCAUGGGGAGCGAACGGGAUUAGAAACCCCGGUAGUCCAUGCCGUAAACGAUGCACACCAGGCGUUGGGGAUGCACUGCAUCUUCAGUGCCGCAGCUAACGCGAUCAGUGUGCCGCCUGGGGAGUACGGUCGCAAGGCUAAAACUCAAAGGAAUUGACGGGGGCCCGCACAAGCAGCGGAGCGUGUGGUUUAAUUCGAGGCUACGCGAAGAACCUUACCUGGGCUUGACAUACAGGUGGUACCGACCCGAAAGGGAAGGGACCUUCGGGAGCC
rnacentral:rRNA from 1 species